CAAAACAGCUCUCGGGCGGCAAUGCCAUUGUACUUGGUUACAAAUCGUUGACAACACCGGAUCGAAAAUGUUUUGGGAUCUACUCGGUGGAAUUUUUGAGUUUCUUUUCGGGCUCUUGUUUCCUAGUUCCGGUAGUGGGGACGAGCCAGACUCCGAGGAGGUGGAAACCACUUAAUGGCCUGGCCUACACAUAGGUUAAUUAAUAUCUUUCAAUGAGAUGAUUUUCAUGUUUUUGCUUUAUUACAUCUACGUAAAAUUUGUAUGUUAAACAUAAAUUGCUUCAACAGCUACUA